rnacentral:rRNA from 1 species
UACGUAGGGUGCAAGCGUUAAUCGGAAUUACUGGGCGUAAAGCGUGCGCAGGCGGUUAUGCAAGACAGAGGUGAAAUCCCCGGGCUCAACCUGGGAACUGCCUUUGUGACUGCAUAGCUAGAGUACGGUAGAGGGGGAUGGAAUUCCGCGUGUAGCAGUGAAAUGCGUAGAUAUGCGGAGGAACACCGAUGGCGAAGGCAAUCCCCUGGGCCUGCACUGACGCUCAUGCACGAAAGCGUGGGGAGCGAA